rnacentral:sRNA from 1 species
UCCAUUGUGUCCACUUCUGUGAGGGA